rnacentral:rRNA from 1 species
GGGAACAUACCCUUUUCUACGGAAUAGCUCUGGGAAACUGGAAUUAAUACCGUAUACGCCCUACGGGGGAAAGAUUUAUCGGGGAAGGAUUGGCCCGCGUUGGAUUAGCUAGUUGGUGGGGUAAAGGCCUACCAAGGCGACGAUCCAUAGCUGGUCUGAGAGGAUGAUCAGCCACAUUGGGACUGAGACACGGCCCAAACUCCUACGGGAGGCAGCAGUGGGGAAUAUUGGACAAUGGGCUCAAGCCUGAUCCAGCCAUGCCGCGUGAGUGAUGAAGGCCUUAGGGUUGUAAAGCUCUUUCACCGAUGAAGAUAAUGACGGUAGUCGGAGAAGAAGCCCCGGCUAACUUCGUGCCAGCAGCCGCGGUAAUACGAAGGGGGCUAGCGUUGUUCGGAAUUACUGGGCGUAAAGCGCACGUAGGCGGAUAUUUAAGUCAGGGGUGAAAUCCCAGAGCUCAACUCUGGAACUGCCUUUGAUACUGGGUAUCUUGAGUAUGGAAGAGGUAAGUGGAAUUGCGAGU